UCCUCACUUCACAUUUGACCUCUCAUUUUUUCAUCAAAAAAGCUAUCUACCACUGUUUACAUUAUCAUUUUGUGUUGACGAUGAUGAAACAACUGUUGAGUUUAAUCUUGGGUUAAUUAAGACUAUAAAUGAUUUAAUUGCAGGAAUUGUGAUAUUAAACAAAGAUUAAACGAUUUGUUUUGUGUUGAUCUGAAUGGUUGUCUUUUUUUUUUGUUGUUGAAUCAGAUAUAAUUCUCAUCUUGAAGGUCUUAUGAGAAUGGCUGAUUUGGUAAUGACUGGGUCGGACCGGUGAAAUCCGUAUUCGAAUCGUUCAUCUUCCCUACCCAUUUCUCUGCUGCUGCAGACUGUUGUGUUGAAGGUAGUGGUGGCGGUGUUGGUGGAGCUGGGUGGUGGAGCUGGCAGCGGAGUGGGGCUGAUGGUAAUCAUCUUCUUUAACGGAUGUGUCCAAUGAAUGGUGGUGAUGUUCUUUUUAAUGCAUGCGACGAUGGUGACGGUGAUGGUGAUGCGCGGUGGUCCUGGUGGUGUACUGGCGGCGGCGGUGAUGGUGGUUGUGGUGGCGGCGGUGCUGGCCUAAGUGGAAUGAUAGUUGAUUAAGGAAUGAAUGUUGCAAUUUUGUAUGACGUAUUACGAUUGGUGGUGGUGCUUACGGUUGACAUGAUGAUGUUUCUCUUUGUAAACUCAGAUUUAGGCUUUUAUGGUGGUUGUUACGGUGGUGGUGAAGAAAUAAAUAAUGGUGUAUGAAUUUGUUGGUGGAGCUCCGGUUGUGCUGAUGUUGAACGACUGGUUGAUAAGGGUAUAAUUUGAUUUUGGCGGUGGUGUUGGUGGAGGGGUUGGUGGUGCUGGUUGGAGAAGGAAUUAAUCGAAUAAAGAGAAAGCACCCCGGAUAUUUGCGAAAUCAAUGUGCGGGCGAAAGAAAGGACGGAGGGGUUAUUUAGUCAUUUAACUGGAAAAGGGAGAAAAUUUUUGGACGGGAGAAAUCCAAUUCUUUUAUGAAAUUGAAAAGUAGAAAUUAACAUUUAAUUCCAAAUUAGCUGGGCUUUGGACGUCUUAGUCCAGCCUCCUCAAGCCUGUUACACGGAGAUUCAAAUAUCACAUUUUUAAAACGAGUUAAUCCUUUUUUAACGAUUCAGUCCAAAACCGCAUUUUUUUGAUAGCCAAAAUGCUCUUUUAUGUAAAAGUUAUUUUCAUUCUUGCGUUUCUCUGCUAGCAAAUCUUUGAAAGAAAGAUCAGAAGAUCUAGGGAUAAGUUGUUCAUCUCCUUUUAGCUCAAAUAUUCAAAAUAUUUCUGUACUCCAGUUGAAAUCAACCAUAUCUCGAGUUCUUCGCAGUUAAAAUCAAGUUCAUGACUUUGAUAUGGUCUUUGGUAGCAAGUAGGGUUUCAUUUUUCGUUUUUUCGUCAUCACAUCAUUCUUCUUUUGGUGAUAAUAAUUGGUGUUUCUUCGAUGAAUUUUAUAAUAUUCUCAAUUGUGCUCAUGGUAUUCGUCUAAGAUUUGGAUUUUUUUGGUUUGGUUCAUAUUCAUAUUUGAUUACAAACGAUAAAUGGUUCACGGUUCUCCAUCAAAUCACAACAAGUUUGUUCUUCUCAGAUCCAAUUCUGUUGAUACUACAACAUUGGUAUAAUCUCUUGUCAAUUUUUAAUUCCAAUUUACAUUUUUCGAAUCCUUCAAAUCUGUCUUCUACAAUCGGUCAAUGGAAACAUUGUGAGAAACCUUUUAUUCAUUAAUUAAAUUGAUUUACUGACUCCAUCAAUCAACUUCGAUCUCAGUUCAUCUUCAUUUUAUUUAAAUUCCAGAUCAUUUUCACUUGUAAAAUUCAAAUUCAUCUCCAAAUUUUUGUUAGUCAAUUUUACUUAUGCAUCUGCUAAUUGGUAUUAGUUAGAUGUUAUUUCUACCUACUGAUGAUGAAUAUUGAUUGUUACUAUACUAAUUACGUAUUUGCUUCUACUAAUUGGUAUUACACAAUUGUCAAGUUUCACAUUCAAGGCAUACUGAUGCCGGUCAAGAAAGCUAAAAAAAGGGAUCCAAAUUAGUGCAUAACAAUUGGUUGAGAAAAUAUUUCAAAGAAAGCUAAAGGAAUUUGUUGAUGCUUGAAUGGGUAUGUCAUAUUUGACAUCUGAGCAACAUGAACGAUGUGCUGGCAACCUCCUACCCAAGAAUUGAUUUGCUAAGAGUUUACAUGGAAAUGAAUGGAUUCUUCACCUCAUCUUUAUGAGGAUUUUAAUCUGGGCGACAAUUAUUGCAGCUAGGGAUUGGUAAAGAGAAAGCUGCAGGCAUUACUCAAGAUGUGCAACAGGCGACAUGGAAAAUCAUUGAUUUAUUUGUAUUUCAGGUGUAGGUAUGUCGAAUUAACUCUUUCGAUUUGACUAGGAUUAAGUUCAAUCUCGAAACCAAGUUGUUACAUGGGCUACUAAGAGUUUGAAAAUUGAAGUUAAAAUAAGCAAACCUCAGAUUUGGGACACUUUUGGUUAAGAAAGGUUAACUGCUAAACCAACCUCUAAAAAUCCGGCUAUUAAUCAACUAGAGCUUGGCGUGGUUGAUAGUUUUAUCAGCCUGUGUAGACUAGAGUGGCUGUUGACUACAAAGGAUGUUGGAUUUUUGCAGAUGUGUGCAUAGUUAUACAUUAGUGUAACUUAAAAAUUUUAAAACAUGGGAAUUAUAUAGUCAUAGGGGUACUCUUUUUGUAGUUCUCGGAAAGAACUUUCCGAAUAUAUAAAGUUUGCGAAUUUUGGACAAACGGUUCAAAAGAUAAAUUGUUUUUUAAUUUUUUUUUUUGUUAAUUAAA